rnacentral:rRNA from 1 species
AACGAACGCUGGCGGCAUGCCUAACACAUGCAAGUCGAACGAGACCUUCGGGUCUAGUGGCGCACGGGUGCGUAACGCGUGGGAACCUGCCCUUAGGUUCGGAAUAACUCCCCGAAAGGGGUGCUAAUACCGGAUAAUGUCUUCGGACCAAAGAUUUAUCGCCUUUGGAUGGGCCCGCGUUGGAUUAGCUAGUUGGUAGGGUAAAAGCCUACCAAGGCGACGAUCCAUAGCUGGUCUGAGAGGAUGAUCAGCCACACUGGGACUGAGACACGGCCCAGACUCCUACGGGAGGGAGCAAUGGGGGAUAUUGGAAAAUGGGCGGAAGCCUGAUCCAGCAAGGCCGCGUGAGUGAUGAAGGCCUUAGGGUUGUAAAGCUCUUUUACCCGGGAUGGUAAUGACAGUACCGGGAGAAUAAGCUCCGGCUAACUCCGUG